AUGAAUACCCUAAGGAAUGUACUUCCCUAGCCCCAGCUCAGGUCUAGCAUUGCAAGAUGCAUGGCAAAAUUCCACAUAUGACAUUACAAAUGUGCCCUAAACUCUGACCCAGAGGGACCAUCUUUAAGGUUGAGAGAGCACUUCAGUCUCCAUUCCCAUUCAGACCUUUGGCUUUC
ensembl:misc_RNA